GCGCUGCAUUAGCUAGUUGGUAAGGUAACGGCUUACCAAGGCAACGAUGCAUAGCCGACCUGAGAGGGUGAUCGGCCACACUGGAACUGAGACACGGUCCAGACUCCUACGGGAGGCAGCAGUAGGGAAUCUUCCGCAAUGGGCGAAAGCCUGACGGAGCAACGCCGCGUGAGUGAUGAAGGUCUUCGGAUCGUAAAACUCUGUUAUUAGGGAAGAACAUAUGUGUAAGUAACUGUGCACAUCUUGACGGUACCUAAUCAGAAAGCCACGGCUAACUACGUGCCAGCAGCCGCGGUAAUACGUAGGUGGCAAGCGUUAUCCGGAAUUAUUGGGCGUAAAGCGCGCGUAGGCGGUUUUUUAAGUCUGAUGUGAAAGCCCACGGCUCAACCGUGGAGGGUCAUUGGAAACUGGAAAACUUGAGUGCAGAAGAGGAAAGUGGAAUUCCAUGUGUAGCGGUGAAAUGCGCAGAGAUAUGGAGGAACACCAGUGGCGAAGGCGACUUUCUGGUCUGUAACUGACGCUGAUGUGCGAAAGCGUGGGGAUCAAACAGGAUUAGAUACCCUGGUAGUCCACGCCGUAAACG
rnacentral:rRNA from 1 species